rnacentral:rRNA from 1 species
AUACGGAGGGUGCAAGCGUUACUCGGAAUCACUGGGCGUAAAGCGCGCGCAGGCGGGCUGAUAAGUUGGAUGUGAAAGCCUACGGCUCAACCGUAGAACUGCAUCCAAAACUGUCAGUCUAGAGUCUGGGAGGGGAAGAUGGAAUUAGUUGUGUAGGGGUAAAAUCCGUAGAGAUAACUAGGAAUACCAAAAGCGAAGGCGAUCUUCUGGAACAGUACUGACGCUGCGGCGCGAAAGCGUGGGGAGCAAACAGGAUUAGAAACCCUAGUAGUCC